AUGCGCAGAGCACCCACAGGACACCAGGCCCUGGGCAGCAGAGAGCCACAGCUGAGCAGCUGGCCUGCAGACGUCCUGAAGCACAUUGGGGACGUGGCCUGUCCUGGAGCCUCCUGGGGUAGGGAGGGGGCCAAGAGGAGGCAGGUGGGUCCAGCCAGGUAGGCACCUGACACCCAGGAGUCCAGCACUGGAUCCCUGCAGAGGGACCAGGCCCUGGGAGAGCCAAGAACAGAGGGGCCUCUGGGGCCUGGUCCCCUGUGUCUGAUGUCAUGGUCACAUGGGGCCUCCUCUCUUGCAGCCAGUAGCACAGCCCCCUCCGUCUUCCCCCUGAUGCCCAGCUGCACAGACACAUCUGGCUCCACAGUGACUCUGGGCUGCCUGGUGAAGGACUAUUUCCCUGAACUGGUGACCGUGUCCUGGAACCAAGGCGCCCUGUCCAGCGGUGUGCGCACCUUCCCGCCUGCCCGGCAGUCCUUGGGGCUCUACUCCCUCAGCAGCAUGGUGACCGUGCCCGCCAGCAGCUGGCCCAGCCAGAGCCUCACAUGCAACGUAGCCCACCCUGCCAGCAGCACCAAGGUGGAUAAGAAGAUUAGUGAGAGGACACCUCACAGGAAGGGACAUCCAGUGGAAGGACCUUCGGUCUUCAUCUUCCCCCCAAAACCCAAGGACACCCUCAUGAUCUCCCUCACCCCUGAGGUCACAUGCGUGGUGGUGGACGUGAGCCAGGACUAUCCCAACGUCGAGAUCAGCUGGUUCGUGGAUGGUGAGCAGGUGCACACGGCCCAGACUUCCAGGGAGGAGCAGUUUAACAGCACGUUACGCGUGGUCAGCGUCCUGCCCAUCCGGCACCAGGACUGGCUGAAGGGCAAGGAAUUCAAGUGCAAGGUCCAGAAUGAUGCCCUCCAAGCGCCCAUCGAGAGAACCAUCUCCAAAGCCAAAGGGCAGGCCCGGAGUCCACAGGUGUACGUCAUGGCCCCACCCCGGGAGGAGAUGACCCAGAGCACUGUCAGCUUGACCUGCCUGGUCAAAAACUUCUACCCCAAUGAAAUCCUCGUCCAGUGGGAGAGUGAGGGAAAGCCAGAGAACAACUACAAGACCACCCCAUCCGUGCUGGACAGCGACGGCACCUACUUCCUCUACAGCAAGCUCACAGUGGGCAAGAGCUCGUGGCUGAGUGGGGCUGGCUUCACAUGCUCUGUCAUGCACGAGGCCCUGCACAACCACUAUGUGCAGAAGCUCGUCCCCCACAAUCCGGCGCUGCAACCAGACGAGAGCUGUGCCGAGGCCCAGGACGGGGAGCUGGACGGGCUGUGGACGACCAUCACCGUCUUCAUCACGCUCUUCCUGCUCAGCGUGUGCUACAGCGCCACCGUCACGGUCUUCAAGGUGAAGUGGAUCUUCUCCUCGGUCAUGGAGCUGAAGCAGACCAUCGUCCCCGACUACAGGAACAUGAUCGGGCAGGGGGCUUAG